UGUUAUUGAUAAUCUUUCAGGUUUAUUCAUUAGAUUGGACUCCUGAAAGGAAUAGGAUUGUUAGUGCUUCACAAGAUGGAAGGUUGAUAGUCUGGAAUUCUUUGACAAGUCAGAAAACACAUGCAAUAAAGGUUCAUUGUGUGUGGGUAUUAACAUGUGCCUUCUCUCCCAAUGGUCAAUCUGUGGCUUGUGGUGGUCUUGACAGUGCUUGCUCUAUCUACAAUCUUAACUCUCAAGUUGAACGAGAUGGAAAUAUAACAGUAGCUCGUAUACUUACUGGUCACAAAGGCUAUGUUUCAGCUUAUCAAUAUGUCCCUGAUUAGGAUACUCGCCUGGAAACCAGCUCUAGUGAUCAGACUUGUGUUCUAUGGGAUGUUACUACCGGUCAGAGGAUCUCAGUAUUUGGGGGUGAAUUUCCAUCGGGGCACACAGCAGAUGUAUUGAGUUGAAAGGAGUAACAGCAUGUAUUCACUGGACAUAAGAACAUGCAACGUGGUGACAUUCAGAUACGGAACUACUCUUCCAAAUGAUUCAAGCUGUGCUUCACCUUGCACUUGGGCCAUUGAUGAUCCUUCGUCAUUUUUGAUCCGUGGUCCAACUUAUUUGCAAAACAAUCAGAAGGUGCUGAUUGGUUAUCAUCUGAUAAGCUGGAAGAUGAUCUUGGUGGUCGAUCAGGGAGCAUAGUUCAGG